UUUGCUCGCGGCGGGGGCUACCGGGUGGCGGGCGGCCCUCAAGGGGAUGGGGACCCUCCCGGUUUGAGCGAGAUCGCUGGGAGAGAGGUUUCGCCCCGUUUGAGAGUGACCCCCAAUCGCUGGGGCGUGGUGUCAGCUCUGGGAGGGGUGGAGAACCGGCUCGGCCCGGGGGUCAGCGCAGCAGCGGAGCCGGGGAACACGGCGGGGGAGGCCUUCAGCAGCGCCCCAGGACGCGCGGCUGCCGCCCAGAGUCCCCGCCCGAGCUCCCUUCCUUCCCCUUCGGGCUGCUCCGUGCCCCGCUCAGUGCUCCCGCUGAAAGGCUGUUCUGGCAAAUACAUGCCCUCACGGGGACACAAUUGCUCAAGGAAAACAUUUCCCCUUCUUUUUCCUGGCACGGCUCUAGGCAGUUUCCCGAGCUGAGUAGUGACGAAAGCCAGAGGCUGUGGCCACUCGGGCAGUGACGGCGGGACGCCCUUUGCCUCGGCUUUGCGGGCUCCAAGUGGGCCAUUCUUCACCUUCCCGAAGGCAGAGUUGCAGCAGCUCAUCCUGGGAACGCUGUCCAGGCUGCAGGACCAGCCUCACGGAGCCACUCGGGAGCCGAAGGGUGUCCUGCUGCCCUGGUGCCCCCUCCUCGUGACCCCAUACAACCUAUGCACACUUGUGUCCCAUCACUGGACUGACACCUUGGUUGUUGUUGGACAAACCCUGGCAGGGCUGCCCUACUUCCCUGGAGGAGUGUUUAUCCAGCUAAAGGAUUUGUGCGUCUGCAGUAUCACAGAGGGGCAGCAGCAACUGAGACAAUGUGCCUCAGGAUCUUAAAAGACCACCUCAUGUACAGCCAUGGAGUCCCGUGCACUGGGGAACAUCUCAUAGAUCUGACAUGACUUCAGGCUGCAUCUGCAAAUCCAGGCUGCUGCUCCUUGUGUGCAAGACCCCCUCCCAACUCUUCAGCAGCCAGGGCGAGGGGGGCCUCUGCUCUGUUUGAAAAGGUUCCAUGCAAAGUGGCAGACAGCAAAGCUUGUUAUGAGGACAGAUGCUUGGGCCAAGACCUGAAUCAUGAACCCUCCCUCAGCUUCAGCUUCCCUCUUGGUUCCCUGCACAGUUCUUCCCAAAGAAGCAGCUGUCCCAGGGAAGUAGGGGACAAGACCAGCUCAGCAGCAAAGGGGUCUAGUGCCACAGGGUCUGGGUCCCACUGGACCACCACCAGACAGUGGAGGGCUGAAAGGGAAGUGCACAUACUGGGAUAGAAGACCUCAGACUGACCUGAGAGGUGUUUGGCACAGUUUGUGUCAGCUUUAAGGUCAUGGUCACGAUCCCGAGUGGAGAAGGGCAGCUGCCUGAAUUCCCCAAUGGCAUUUUCCAGCUCUCCAGACAGAGGCCCCAGCAGGUUGAGUGUGUAGGCUGUGCUCUCACCACCAAGACUGAAGACAAACUGAACCACCUGGGAAUUCCCCUCCCAGUCUUCCAGCUCAAUCAGGAGAUUGUACUUUCCCUCUUGGACAAGGUGAUGUAUCUUCUCCAGGCCCAGCCAGAAGUCACCUGAAAUAAGAUUCAUGACUUUGGCUGCAGGGACACAAACAUGCCAUGAAAAGCAGAGAUGCAAGCAAGCUCCAGAGACAAACAGGGACAAUCUAGGAUGCUGCAGCGUUUGAAUCACUGUCUGGCACCUGCAGGACACACCAGGAAGAUCAAGGACCCUUGCUCUGCAAGCACUGUCCCACCCGCCCCUUCAGCCCACAUCUGUGCUGUAGCACAGAGAGCUCCAGAGGCCAGCAAGGGGAAGAUCUUUUGGUAAGCUUCCCUUAUCCCACAGUGAGAACAUAGACACCAUCAUCCACCUACCACGAAGGUCUCCAAAGCCAUUCUUGUAGGCAUCCCACAGCUGGUCAAAGUCCACAGAGCCAUCCAUGCGCCUCUGGAUCACUGUCCAACCACCCUCUGUGGGAAGGGAAAACACGGUCACUUGGGGUUACCAUUGACCAGCCCACCCUGCCAAGUGCUCAGGACGGUGCACGGCUUUACCUGUGGUCAUGUCACAGUAGACUUUGAAGGGCUGAGAUCCUGUGGGCUGUACCUGGAAAAUGCCACUGCUCUGCUGCCCAGCCAGGAAAAGCUGGUGGCAACCCUCUGGGAGCUCUGCAGGGGAAGGAAACAGCAGCUGAGGAGAUGGCCACAAGCCCCACUUCCUCAGCAGGUUGCUCCUACCACAGCCCCAGCACUUGCAGCCCUGGCCACGAGCCCAGCCAGCCACGCACAGCAGCAGCUGCAGCUCUGGACACGUGCUGGGGACAACAGCCCCUGACUUCAGCAUCUUUAAACACUGUGACCCCACACUUUUCCUUUUAUUUAAACAGAGCUCCUUGGGCUUUCAUCCAAGGCAGAAGCCAGGCUUUGGGCCAGGUUGGAGUGACCUCAGCUGGAGAGAAGGGCUCCCCAUCGAGGAGGGACAGAGCAGUUCCCAGGUCCCUCUACACCCACAGACAGGAGUGGCCCAUUUGGGGUGGGGCAAUGCCCCAGUCAAGUAUCCCCAUCCCACACGAGGCUGAAGCAGAGUCAAGGGGCCUCAGAGGCAGAGAGAAAGACAAAGUCCUGACAUCAGGAAGGUGGCUGAGCAUCCAGCACACGACCUCUUUCUCCCAGCAACUGUGGUGGCCCCAGACAGACAUCCUGCUGGGCAACCUGCCACCAGCAGGCACAGUGCCAGGCUGGGGUGACCCUUUUUCCAAGAUACACUGACUGAGGCAAGGGGGGGGGGGGGGUGGACUCUGGGAGCCCCAGCUCAUUGCAGGAGUGGAUUGCCCCAGGUGAAGCUACACCCUGCUUCAUCCCCCUCAUCCCCAGGGGCUCCCACUGCUCCUUCUGCCUCGCAGGGACUUUGCCCAGAGCUGCCAGCAAAGCACCAUUUCAACAGCUGUGAUAAAAGUCCAACCAAGAACCACCACCCCCAGCACUUGGGAGAGAUGAGGCAGAGGGAACCUGUUACAACAUCCGAGUCAAAAGGCCACAGGAAGAUGUGUAGAGACUUCAGCCCCAGGCUGCUGCACAGUCAAGGGGCUCUUUGUCAGCAGGGACAGGUGCCCCAGUCACCCCCAGACAAAGGGGCCCUGUUCUCCCCAGGCCAGGGUGGAUGGAUUGUAGCUUUGACUACCCUGGCUCACAGCUGCUGCCAGCAUGACCCUGAGACAGACAAGAAACCUCAAGACAAGCCCUGGGCUGUGCUGGGGUGCUGGCCGUGGGGUCCCUCGCAGUAGCUGCCCCAGGGUCAGGGCUGACACCAUGAUCCAGAGCAGCAGCAAGAAGGGCUUCCUCCAACAGCCAGGGGCUCCCUGGGGGCAGAUGGAGGGGGGGAAAAAAGGGCCUUUGAGCUGCCAGGACUAAAAGCAGCCCUUGCAGAGCAUCAUCCCAUCCUCACUGGGUGCUGGGGAGUCUUGAUGCUGCCCUGGGGUGAAGAGUAAAGCCCCAACUGCAGGAAAGGUCGGGGGGACCCAGGGGACAGAAAUAUGACACCUGCCAUCACCUUUCACCCAUUUACAACAUAUUCCUCUCUUUGCCUUCCUCUCCCCCCACAAAAUUUCCCCUCCUUGGCAGGGGUAGCCCCUCUCGCACAGCCAGCACAGCUGGUGGUCACAUCCCUAACACCCCCAGGGCAAUGCCAGGGCAGGACUGGUGCCACCAUCAAUGCACCACAGGACAAGCUGUGCCCCAGCCCUACCCUGAACCCAUGACACAGGGAAUGAGGGCAUUGUGCAUCAAGGAUCAAAACCACGCAGAGCCCCCCAGCAAUGCAGGGGCUGAGUGCAUCCUGAAUAUCCCCACCUUCUGGGCAGGGAAGGGCAAGGGCAGGGAAGCAAACCAGGCUCAUAGGAAGGAACACCACAGCCAGAGGCCCCUGCUUACAUUGCCACAUCAAGGAGGUGCUGGGCUUGCCAAGCUCCUCACCUCCUCUCCCUCAUUUCCUCACUGCAUCUCCCAGCAUCAGUGGGAUGGUGCCAGGCAGAUGUUUAGUGGUCCCAGCAUGCACAAGUCAACUCCAUCCCUGCCUGUUUCUCAUUUCUGGGCUCUGGCUGCACUCAAUCCCUGUUCCCCUGGUGCCACAGGGACUCUUCAGCAGCUGAACGAGAUGUAGCUGCUUGAACAGCCUCUGCUCUAGGUUUUUGUUUGAGGGACAUGCUCGUUAGUUCCAGUUCACGCUGCACAUCCAAACGGCACCAGCAGAACAAGCCCUCCUGACUGCUCCCGUGUUUCCUUCUCCCUCCCUCUUUACUUAGCCAAGCAACACAACAAGGCUGGAUCUGCCUUAGGCUCUGUGUUCACCCAACAGGAUUUCCAGCCACAACACAGGGGAGGUCACUAACCUGGUAUAAACACCCAUCCUCAGGGAUAGCAGGGCAUGCCUAGAGCUGCCUGCAUUGCCUCCCCCUCUCCCACUCCAACCCAGCCCCAUUAUUUUGGAGUCUCAGCGCCACAGGGAGAGCGAGCGUGAGCAGGGCUCUACCUUUCCCCUACUCGGCUGGCUGCCAGCAAGCACAGGCUCUGCCCAAAGACGUGAUCCUCUUUCUGCAAGCUAUUAAACCUCUCACUCUCCAGGCAGCUUUGAGCCUUCAACUUUCACAUGCUUGGCCCCACGCCAGUUCUGCCCUGAAAAAACUUGUGUUCACUGGAUGCAAAUAAAAGGGUCUUUCUGCAA